AGGGGUAUAGCUCAGUUGGUAGAGCGGCGGUCUCCAAAACCGCAGGCCGGGGGUUCGAGUCCCUCUGCCCCUGCCA
rnacentral:tRNA from 2 species